CGGGCCUCCGGCGGACACGGCACAAGAAGCCCAUCGGCCAGCUCUGCGCCAUGGUGACAGGGGGAGGUGGGGACCGUCCUCCCGUGGGUGGCGGCUAGGAUAAUGGCCGCGCCUACGGUGAUCACGAAGACAGAUACUACUACAAGGACCAAUUGAGAAAACAUGGAGCCAUGGUCAACCAUAGGGUAAUGGCUUCAAGUGCGGGAUAUAGACAUUACAGAGGCCAUCCUACCAGAACCCUUCAAUCCAAAGCUAAAACAAACAAGCCUUGACUAAUGGAGAUUCUGCUGAGCCACCUCCACAGAAUUCCACUAGAAAAGGAUUUUCAAGUGCUUCCCACUUCCCGCAAUCAUUUCAAAACCUCAUGUCCCAGAAAGUCAUUACUGAUGGAACUAACAAGACUCUGUUGCUAUCUGCUCUAGCAGAACUGAGCUCUCUUAGUGCUCAUGACACAGAAGGGCCAAACAGAAGCCCUAAAAAGCAUUUGGAUGUUCAUUUUCA